rnacentral:rRNA from 1 species
GACGAACGCUGGCGGCGUGCUUAACACAUGCAAGUCGAACGGAAAGGCCCUGCGUUUGUGGGGUGCUCGAGUGGCGAACGGGGGAGUAACACGUGAGUAACAUGCCCUUGACUGUGGGAUAACUUCAGGAAACUGGGGCGAAUACCGGAGAGGAGCUCCUGCUGCAUGGGGGGGGUUGGAAAGUUUCGGCGGUGGGGGAUGGACUCGCGGCUUAUGAGCUGGUUGGGGAGGUAGGGGCGUAACAAGGCUAUGACGGGUAGCCGACCUGAGAGGGUGACCGGCCACACUGGAACUGGGGCGCGGUCCAGACUCCUACGGGAGGCAGCAGUAGGGAAUCGUCCGCAAUGGGCGGAAGCCUGACGGAGCAACGCCGCGUGAGUGAUGAAGGCCUUCGGAUCGUAAAACUCUGUUAUUAGGGAAGAACAAAUGUCUCAGUAACUAUGCACGUCUGGACGGUACCUAAUCAGAAAGCCACGGCUAACUACGUG